rnacentral:lncRNA from 1 species
UCUAGUUUAAAAACAAAUACCGUGUUUAUAACGAGACCGAAGGGACAAUGAAGAAUUCAGUACUCGAUACUGACACCUGCCACUUGCAAAAUAUCUCCACCACUAGGAACAAAUAUUUUGUGAGAGUUUGGAAAAUUCUGGUCACUCAUUUUUUCCUCCUUUGUUUCCAUUUCAGUCACUGUGCAAUAACAGCACUGACGUUGCUAAAUGUCACGAAGUGAAGCUGAUGAAGUUGCUUCAUGUGCUUGUUCCAGUGUCCCUUUGGAGCUGGAGUUCCUGUGUGCACAGGCAUCAUCCAGGUUCAUCAGACAGCCAAAUCUUCAGCGUGGCAAAGUUGUUCCCAGUCAUUUCUCUGUUUAUUUUCAAUUUCCCAUCCUGUCAGCUCGAACUAAGGUGGGAGAAGGUAAAGCAACUAGAAGGGGCAGUUUUUAAGGUUUCAACUGAGUAGAAGAGCCGGGUUUUACAGAGCAGGGUUUUACAGCGCACGCCGGCCUGUUCAGUCAGCGCAGGGACGCAGGACGGGGAG